rnacentral:rRNA from 1 species
GACGAACGCUGGCGGCGUGCUUAACACAUGCAAGUCGAACGGUAAGGCCCUUCGGGGUACACGAGUGGCGAACGGGUGAGUAUCACGUGGGUGAUCUGCCCUGCACUUCGGGAUAAGCCUGGGAAACUGGGUCUAAUACCGGAUAGGACCACUGCCCGCAUGGGUGGUGGUGGAAAGCUUUUGCGGUGUGGGAUGGGCCCGCGGCCUAUCAGCUUGUUGGUGGGGUGAUGGCCUACCAAGGCGACGACGGGUAGCCGGCCUGAGAGGGUGACCGGCCACACUGGGACUGGGAUACGGCCCAGACUCCUACGGGAGGCAGCAGUGGGGAAUAUUGCACAAUGGGCGCAAGCCUGAUGUAGCGACGCCGCGUGAGGGAUGACGGCCUUCGGGUUGUAAACCUCUUUCAGCACCGACGAAGCGCAAGUGACGGUAGGUGCAGAAGAAGGACCGGCCAACUACGUGCCAGCAGCCGCCGUAA